rnacentral:lncRNA from 1 species
UGGUGGUUUUAUUGAUUUUCGAAUUUGGAGUAAAAAUGGUGGAAAAGAUGAAAUCUUUUGUUGUUUCCUCUCGUGUUUUUAAUUUUAAGAUUUUGUUGUUUUUAAUUUUAUUUAAAAGAUUCAGUUUUAACCCCAUAUUAGAAGCAGCCUUAACUUAAUGAGGACUGAAUCUAUUAAUUGAGAGUAGGGAUGAAUAUGCAAAUAAUUAAACUUAUACAGUAAAAAUGUAAAAUAUAAUUAUAAAUAUGAGAUAGAUAAUUGAGUACACAUGUCUUAUUUUUAUUGGUGCCACAUCAUGGUGUGCUGUUUGCACACCUCUUUAUGAAGGUAACCUAGAAAAAACC